rnacentral:rRNA from 1 species
CCUACGGGUGGCAGCAGUAGGGAAUCUUCCACAAUGGGCGCAAGCCUGAUGGAGCAACACCGCGUGAGUGAAGAAGGGUUUCGGCUCGUAAAACUCUGUUGUUGGAGAAGAACGUGCGUAAGAGUAACUGUUUACGCAGUGACGGUAUCCAACCAGAAAGUCACGGCUAACUACGUGCCAGCAGCCGCGGUAAU